UGGCGCACCUCAAUCCCUCGCCCAUCGGUAGAAAAUGAAGGCAUUUCAGCGAGGGUUUGGCGACAGAUAGAGAAAUUGUCGAUUUUUGCCAUCUGGUAUGCGUUUAGCGAGAGAACGCCGACAUAAAUUAUUUUUGGGGUACGCACGUUUUUGUUUUUCAAUCGCCGAUCUCUCGCUGAAAUUGGCGCAACCCAAUUCCAGUUUUACAAAAUUGCUGUGUACCACAUGUUGCCCAAAGCUCAUGCAACAAUUGAAAUUAUCAGUGAUUCCUACCAUAAACAUCAAAUAGGUUUUCUCAUUCUCUUACUCUUCUUCUUUCUGUCCGUGUUCUUGAUUUUCCUUUACAAGUGGCGAGUGCUUGGAUUUGAUCAAUCUAGGGUUCACAUUUUUGAUAAUUCAUAACUGAAUCGUUGAACUGAGGUCAAUUAAGCCAUUUUUAGUGUUUUUUGUUUGGUUACAGGGUUGGAAAGACAUUUCUAAUUGUUGAGGCAGUAUGAGAACUAUCUUCACACCUCCCCUGCUAUUCUUUUAACCUUAAACGCCACUCCUACAGAUUCACCACCACCAGCUCUUGUCCCUGAUCUGUCCUUAUUGCAUAAAAUUGUUUUUCCUGUGAAUUAACUGUAAGGCUGCUUCAAUAUGCGGUAGUUCUAGAUUCUUUUUUUAUUUGUUAUGGAAAAUCCUGUAGCCACCUGACUACUACUGAAGACCGAAUCUUAUUACACAUACUUAUAGACAGGAGAAAACAACUUUCCUGCUCUUAAAGUCACGGUAACACACCUGUGCCAAAUUUUCAUCAAAAUAUCUUGUCUUCAAUGAAACAUAAAGUUCAACUCUUCCCUGUUGAUGAAACUACACGUAGAGCCUUGGAAUGGUCAAUGACAACUCGCAUUUGGAGCUGACUUUAAGUACACAGAAAUAAAAUAUCAUCGGUUUUGGAACAUAUGACAUGUAAAUGGGGUAGCUCUACUGUAGCAGCAUCUGGAGAAUUAAAACGUGUGCCCUAUGAUGCUCAAACAUCAAAUCUUUCCAAUUCUCAGAAAUGGAAUCAGGAUUCCGCCUUAAUUUGGAGCCCUCUGAUUUUCCAUUUAAGGUAUGGUUGGUUUGGUAAGGGUGAAGAACGUAACAACAUUAACAAUGGUAUUGGUAUUGGUGUAAGUGUGGGAAUGGGAUUGUCUACAUUGGAAUGGGUUGAUAGUCUUACUAACAUCAUCGUAUGUGAUAUGCUCUCUGAGAGGAAACAUGUGAUGCCUUUUCCUUCUCUAAGAAUACUGAGAAACUACUGAUGAUUCCAUCAUCAUCUCUCAACCAGAAAUUACGUGAACCAGCAGAGCCGAAAGAAUGUGAGUUUGAUGAAAAUCAUAUUCCUGUCCCAAAGGAUCUCACCUCACUUACUGAUAUGUAUUGGCUAGAGUCUUCAGGACAUAAUGAUUAGAUGAGACAUAUGGUAUAAGAAAAGAAGUAAAGUAUGCCACUAAUUUCAAGGAUCACCAUAAGCUCAUACACACAUAGCCUAUGCACAAAAGAGAAACCCGGCUAAAGAAAAACAGCAUAAGGAUGAUAUUUAAAGCAUAUUAUUUUGGUUUGUUUAACUGAACAGGAGAGAAUCUGAAUCUGGGUAGUAAAAAAAACUAAAGAAGGCAACCUGCAUUUACCUCUGUAGUUAUUUAGAAGAGUUCAUGAUAGCCUGUUACCUUGUUUUUUUUCCUGUAAUGGUAGAGUGCUGAUAAACCAUUUAAGCUCUUUUUUACAGGCGAAGCACAAUUUUCAGUGUUACAUGAUUCUAAGUGAAUCCAAGGUGUAUCUUGAGGUCCUUUCUCAAAAGCAUUCUAUCACAAACUCAAUCAUGAUCAUGUUUUUGACUAUUUCAACAAUUGACUGCUUGUAAGGUAUGUAUUUUUCACAUGUGAAACAAAUUGAAAGAGAGAGUAAGACGAUUAACCGUUAUGCUCCCUGUUAUUUAUGCUUUGAUUAACAACGGAUAAUCUUUUCUUCAGAAUUGUACAUAAUCAUGGAAACUUGUUUAUUAUAUGUGUGUGUGUGUAUAUAUAUAUAUAUAUAUAUAUAUAUAUAUAUAUAUAUAUAUAUAUAUAUAUAUAUAUAUAUUGGUGUAUUAAGAUCAUUUGAAUUAGCAUAAUCUUCAAUCUCGUAAAAAUAUUCAAAAUGGUAAAGCUUUAUAUUGGUCAAAAUGGGAAAGUUUUAUAUUGUUUAUAACUUUAUUUCCUUUUUCUUUUUUUUUAAAUAACUAAUGAUUAAAGAAAACAUACUAUAAAAUGGUUAAUGGUUUUGCUUCGCUGUUAUUGCUUUUUGUCCUCAUGUUUCUCUCUCAUUGUGGAAGGGUAUUUCAUCAAAUAGGAUCAGAAAACUAGUAUUUUGAUUGUAUACUUUUGGGGUAAAUUUGUGUAUGCCAGUUGAGUAGGCUGGAUGUGUUUCUAACAGCAAGUCAGAUUUUUGACACUCAAUGGUCAGUUUUAUUUGUCUGUUUACUUCUCCAAACUUGAAAACAAUUGAUACACUAGAAGUUUGCCCUCAUGUCCACCUCAACUGUUAUGGAAUGAAAGAUUAUUGUUUAAUUAUGCAUAUUUUUAUUAGAAAGCCUUGGUCUAUGAUUUGUUAUUGAUAUGAUUUUUAAGGUAAUUUACAAAUUUGGUCCUUAUUAUUUUUAAUGUAAUUAUCUGUGGCUUGUUUACAACUAUCAUGGAGAGGGGUGAUGAAAUGAUCUUUCUUUGAUCCAAAGUCUACUCCCAAAGUUUAUGUAAGUUCUUUCUCAUUUUUUUGAUAUAAAAGAGAACUCUGUUUGUUUUUUUUUUGUUUUGUAAAAGAUUGUUGGGUUGGACUCUAUUUACAUGAAUAUAAACUUUAGAUAAUAUGUGAAAUUGUGCUGAUAAAGAAGGGUAGUUCUAUAAUUUUCUUCCUAAUUAAAAAUCUUGUAGAUGCUCUGAAAUAGUCAACACAAAUGUUCAAAGAAUCAAAUGCCUGGAGAAAAGACAAUUUCCGAAGACCACUAUGCAAACACGAUAUUUUCUUUCAUUAACAUAUAUUACCAUUUACUUUUUGGUCGGAAUGGGAAUUGAAUUCCAUUCCGGUCCAACACUUGGUUUCAAAUGCUUCUAACAAAGUCUCCUUCCAUUGCAGGAAUAAGUAAAUGACACUUGGUUCGCCUAAUUCAAUGAGAUUUAACAGGAAUUGGAAUCCAAUUCCAUUCCAAUCCUUCUUUUGGAUGCAAGAUAUGAAACAAUAGAAAAGAUAUAUUCAGAAAUGCAAAAUAUGAGAGGAAAUGCAGAAAUAUGGUUAUAUUAUACUUUGAAAUCAAAUUGCAAUGAGUGUUUAACUUUUGUAUUUCAUUGUUAAUGUUUGGUUUUGGAUUCUAUAUUUAUUUGAUGUUUUUGGUAUUUAAAUGAUAAUGUUUGA